CAUACUCAGGUAAACUCGGAUGCAGAUCCACUAUCACCCCUGGUGCUCGCACAUUCCCGUGACCUUCUUUCGUGAGGGAGAUGAUGGCGAUGACGAGCUCCCGCCUUGUACUCUUCUCCGGCCCCUCCGUCGACAAACGCACCGCCGUAUGCGAUGGCGGAGGAGCACGAGGACGAUUAGACGGCGGUGCUGUGACGCUGCCCUUGUCCCUUCGGUCGCCCAACGAGAUAACGAGCGGUUCCGAUCCCUUGCGAAGCGCUGCGUGAAGCUCCGGCUCAGCUCCUCCCGCCGCUCCUAUGGCUCGGUCUUCGUCGUCGGCCUCGCCGCCAUCCUGACCCAGGUAAUCUUGGCACACUAAUAAGAGUGGCUGUGGCUUUCAAAUGGGUAUGUUCCAAUUCUCUGUUGUAAUGGCAAAUGUUGUUCCCCCCGCCAUUCUAUUGUGAUUGCUUACUGAAGAUUCUUUAGUUCUUUACCAACCAUUGUUUCAUGUUUUUCUUCAAAUUUAUUGGGAAAAAUCAUUUGAUCCAGAGAAAAAUUGCAGUAAUGAAAUUCUUUGACAGAAACUUCUUUGACAAUUUGGACGCUUCAAAAGUCAUUGUGACUUUUCAGUGACUUGAUAAACUGGCUAAUACAAAAGAAUACGGUCAAAUAUUAUGAGUGCCUCCACUUGUCCAGAAAAGACAGACCAAAUUAAAAAUCUUUUUAUGAAUUGCAGUUUGUUUUCCAAGAGAGUUACUGCAGUUCAUUGAAAUCAUCCAGAGUAGAAGGUUUACAGAUUUCUGCAUAUGUCUAUUAUUCUUCAAAAGCAUGCGUCAUCAGCAUUUGUCUAUCAUAGAUCUUUGAUUUAGCGUGCACUAACUCCACUCUUUGCAACAACUGAUUUACCCCAACCAUCAACCGGAUGCCGUCUUGCUGCUUCCUGGUUGCUGGGAUCCUUCAAAUGAGAAAGCCCUCGGAGCAGUCCAAGGAGCUUCCUUUCCACUCCCUGUUAUUUCUGAUGCAUUGGCAAGCAUGCUUCUCUGCCUGGUGUUAGGCCAUGAGGGGCAUGGCCUCUCCGAGCAAACUGUGCAAGCCUGCGAGCUAGUAAGCUUUCCUAUGGCAGAUGCCGUCGAGUCUCUUAAUGUUUAUG